rnacentral:lncRNA from 1 species
AACUAAUGACCCAAAACUUAAAUAAAACUAAUACUGCAACUUCAACGAAUUUUCUGGCCCUGUUACACUCUGAUUCAGCUCUCGACUUCUGAACAAAAGUUGUAGGUCUUUUUCUUAGCUUUCCAUCGACUGGUAGCACGUCUCAAUCCGAUACUCCUAGCUCAAGAUAUGAUUUUUCUCGCGAAAGCUGCUAAUGCUGAAAAUUAAAUA